UAUACAUUAUGAAUUUUAUUUAAAUGAAGUAUGAGUAUAACAUAACAUUGUACGAUGAGUAUAUGAUGAAAUAAUGUAACUCUACCGACUGUACCCCAAACCCUUUUUUUUUUUUUUUCUGUAUCCCCUUGUUUUUUGUUCAUUUUCCUUUACUGGAAAUAAUUUGGAAAAUAAAGAAAAAUGUAAAUUGCAAAAAAAAAGAAAUAGCUCAAAACAACAAAUGCUUCAAGGGGUUUCCCCAAAUUCAACUGAAAAUGCAAUUUAUGUCAGGAUUACAAGUUGAUCCAGCAUGCAGUACCGUGUCACACCUAGGACUAAGGAUAACUUAUAACCGGACCUUAGAAUUGCCAGACUUAACGUCUCCAAGAAUCGUCAAAAUACUUGCCGAGGUCAGGGACACAGAAUCAGACACAAAGAUGAGGGAAUGCCAAAAGUCAAGGAUACCAG